GGGGCAGCAGCGUCGGGUAUCCGAAAGGACCCGGUGGCUUCGCAUGAAUGGCCAUAGCAACGCGCAACGCUGCCCCAU
rnacentral:ncRNA from 12 species